AUGGAUUGUAGCCUUCACAUUAUGGAAGGUAGUCUCUUGUCGAUAUCUUUGUUACUCCAAUGGAUGGUAGCCUUGUCAUUCGGAAGGAAGUCUGUCGUUGUGAUAUCUGAUACUCCAAUGGAUGGUAGCCUUGUCAUUAUGGAAGAUAGUAUGUUGCCAAUAUUUUUGUUACUCCAAUGGAUUGUAGCCUUCACAUUAUGGAAGGUAGUCUCUUGUCAAUAUCUUUGUUACUCCAAUGGAUGGUAG